CACACACACACACACACACACACACACACACACACACACACACACACACACACACACACAGACGCAUUAGCACAAGCAUACGCAACCAGGGAUGAAGGAGAGGGCAAUUCUAACUACCCCCCGCCACACGGGUCGUUAGUGUGAGUGUGUCUUCACACGACCGGUAUAUCACAGACGAUAGCGCGUGCGAAAGGCGUUAUACGCAGCGUUACACCAUUAUGCUCGGACCGGAGACACGAGUGGAGCGCGCGCGGUGGUUGGCCUCUCAACCUUCUCAACCUUCUUCUCCGAUAUUGUCGCUGCUGCUGAGAGAGAUCUCAUCUUACCCGGCGGCACUUACCGUAACGCUACGGCGCACACCAAGCAAUUCGAGAAACUGCAACGAGAUCGCAAGCGACGAGCCCGUUGUCAACCGUAAGCCAAACAGAGAAACGAACGGUUUUGCCGUCGCCAUGUUGGCUUUACUCGAUAGCGUACGCAUUUCAUUAUUUGUGUGUGCUCCAAUAUAAGCAUCCGACCAUAAGAUCGAAUAGAUCAAGCAAAAAAUAAGACAAAUAAGGCGAGAAACCUUGGAAGGUGAGCAGAACUUCAUUAAAAACCGUGCAAAAACGGGCUAGCACAUCUGCAUGACGUGUGUGUGCGCGACGUUGCGUCCCGCAUGUCACCACCAGAUAAGAGAACCGAGUACAGGGGUAUGAUAUUUGCGUCACCAUUAAGUAUAGACCCGUCGUCGUCAUCAUCAUCAUCAUCAUCAUCAACAGUGCAUUACGGUUAGAUGACGUACAGCGAUCAACACAGCCCAUCUCUACCGGCACGGCUUGAGCGCGCUUCUUUUGAACAGCGGGAGUGAAAGUGGUAACAAAAAAAAAAGAAAGCGUCUGCCUCACCUUGCACCUGUACGCGACACUGCCCCCGGCGGGUGAUUAGGAAAAGUGUCAGGCAAUUAUUACGUCAUUAGGGGUGAUUGAAUCGUGUGCGUAAACCCCUUGCCACCCGACCAACCCGAGAGCUCGGAUACCGAUGGCAGCCGGGGUAAUUAACGCUAAACGGCACAUUCCAGUGCCGGAAGUCCUAAUGUGGAAGCCGCAUCAUCAAAAAUUAGUCGACGGAGGAGGAGAAGGCACUCAAAUCAAGACCGAAAACGUUUAAGGGAAGCGGAGCAGGCAGCAAAAAAAAAUAUUGCAAUAGAACUCUUUGAGCGACUAAGCAGUGAGCACAAACUUGCUUAUCAUGCUCGAGGUCAGCCUCGCUUGCUACUUGAAUAAGGGAGAUAGAAGUUGCACGCAAAAAAAAGAGUUAAUAGCCUAUUCAGCAAUUUCUUAGUGGACAGGCAUAAAAGUGGAGAAAUAAAACGAACCAUCACGCUGUACACCAUGUAA